rnacentral:rRNA from 1 species
UACGUAGGGGGCAAGCGUUGCUCGGAAUCACUGGGCGUAAAGGGUGCGUAGGCGGGGUUUUAAGUCAGGGGUGAAAUCCUGGAGCUCAACUCCAGAACUGCCUUUGAUACUGAGGAUCUUGAGUUCGGGAGAGGUGAGUGGAACUGCGAGUGUAGAGGUGAAAUUCGUAGAUAUUCGCAAGAACACCAGUGGCGAAGGCGGCUCACUGGCCCGAUACUGACGCUGAGGCACGAAAGCGUGGGGAGCAAACAGG